rnacentral:tRNA from 1 species
UAGUUUAGUGGCAAAACUUUUGUCUCUCGUUCAACAGGUCGCGGGUUCGAACCCCGC